AAAGAAGGAGUUCUUGGUUGCGUUGUGACGUGUGAAUUUGAGUAAGACUCAAAACCCGACCACGGCAGAAUAAAGAGAAUAGACGAAGGUCGUCUUCUAUGCCUUAGCCGUAGAAUCUAAAGUAUGCCAUGCUGUGUACCGCACCUGAUGUGUGCCUUGACUCGAAGUAUGUUGAGAGGUACAGAGAGUGAUCCAUGAUUGAAUCACUAGCAGUGGUCAAAAUUUAUCCUUAGUAACUAAAUAGACUAAGGAAUUUUUCUCGAUUAUGGAGGUGGUUAAAGAGUUCGUCAUAAAGGGUUACGUCGAUGCAAGCUUUGACACUAAUCCGAAUAACUAUGAGUAGUGAAACGGAUUCGUAUAAGUAGAGUAGAUAUUUGGAGCAUUUCCGAAUAGCACGUAGUAGCAGCAUCUAUAAGAUGACAUAAAGAUUUGUAAAGAACGCACGGAUCUGAAAGUUUCAGAACCGUUGACUAAAACCUCUCUCACGAGCAAGACGUGAUCAGACCCCAUAACUAUAUGGGUGUUGGAUUCGUUGGAAUCACAUGGUGAUGUGAACUAGAUUAUUGACUCUAGUGCAAGUGGGAGACUGUUGGAAAUAUGCCCUAGAGGCAAUAAUAAAUUAGUUAUUAU
rnacentral:lncRNA from 1 species